rnacentral:misc_RNA from 1 species
GUGAAUCAUCGAAUCUUUGAACGCAUAUUGCGCUCGAGGCCUCGGCCGAGAGCAUGUUUGCUUCAGCGUCGGGUUAAUACUCGCUCCAUCCACCCCUGGGUGAAUAAGAGCGGAUCUGGUUGUCCCAGAAGGUGCGUGCAACGUCGCAAGGCUGUGCAUGCAUACAAACCGUCUGGGUCAGCUGAAGUGCAGAGGUUAAUGUACGGACCCGUCAUGGGCCGCAGCUGGGUAGGCAGCCUCGUUGCUUGCUAAAUGCUAGCUGUUGGCUUGGUGUCUUACAUUCGACCCUUAACCAGGAAA